rnacentral:rRNA from 1 species
UACGGAGGGUGCAAGCGUUACUCGGAAUUACUGGGCGUAAAGCGCGUGUAGGUGGUCUUAUAAGUCUGGUGUGAAAUCCCGGGGCUCAACCCCGGAAGUGCAUUGGAUACUGUGAGACUGGAGUGCAGGAGAGGAUGGCGGAAUUCCAGGUGUAGAGGUGAAAUUCGUAGAUAUCUGGAGGAACAUCGGAGGCGAAGGCGGCCAUCUGGACUGCAACUGACACUGAGACGCGAAAGCGUGGGGAGCAAACAGG